rnacentral:misc_RNA from 1 species
GUAGGUGAACCUGCGGAAGGAUCAUUACCGAGUUAGGGUCCCCUGGGCCCGACCUCCAACCCUUUGUCUACCUUACCUCUUGUUGCUUCGGCGGGCCCGUCUUUAACCAGACCGUCGGAGGGUGUCACACACCCUCUGGCCCGCGCUCGCCGGUGGCCUACAACCUAAAACUCUUGUUAAAAUCGUGUCGUCUGAAGUAAUCAAACAAAUAAAAUAAAAACUUUCAACAACGGAUCUCUUGGUUCUG